UGAUUUUUCUUCUCUUAAUUUGGUGCAUAUCCUUGAAGUUUAUGAACAACAGGACAUGGGCUGCGUUUGGUGGGGCUCUUAAGCUCUUUUGCUUAUAAGCACAGCCCAGGCUUUUUCAAGGCAAAAGCAGAAGCCGCGCCUCCCCUGCUUUUAGAACCAGAAGCCGCGCGCCGCCACUGUAGUGGUGAGUUAAUGAAUUUUUUCGAAAUACCAAUGGGUACCCUCAUGGCUUCAGCUUAAUUACAACCCAAUACCAAUCGUGAAAACGUCGUUGUUCCAUCUCUUCCAUUCAUAGACUUGGAUCAAAACCCGGGCUGGAUAUCGAUAACUAUACCCAGAUAGGAUGAAUUGGUCGCACACUUGCAUGAAUAAUUUGAGUAGUUUAUGCUCUGUGCCAGGUUACAGCCGACUACUACGAAAACUUCCUAUCAUCUCAUCCUACUCUUGAUGCUUCUCUUAUGCUAUUUUUGAUAGUAUGGAACAGAGUUGGUUAGUGUGAAGAGGUGAAAUUUUGAGGAGUCUUUGGAAUGUAGAGUGAGUGGAUAGAUUUGAAUGGUGGUUAAGACGGAGAAGUACUUAAAAAAGCUUGCGAGAAAGGAAAGAUGUUUGAAACUCAAGGUUGUGCUUCGCAUUUCAGGGGUCUUUAUUGAGCUUGUUCAGCAGAUGCAAGUAAAAGGUGUGCAGGGUGCUGAAAAGUUGUAGAUGUUACAUGCAGCAGAUGAAUGCAAAGAAGUUGAUGGGUGGCUUUCUGCUUUAGUUCCAUUCAACUACCUGAUGAUAAAUUGAUGAAGUUGUGACCACAACUGCCACUGCUGGUGCCCUUCAAGUUUUAAAGUUAGUAGUAGUUAUAGUAGCAGUAGCAAAGGCUAGUCUAUGACUCGAUUAUAAAACUGAAUGUCUGAGAGUGAAUUGAAUGAUGUAAUGAUUGAAAGGAAAUCAUCCAUGAUCAAUUAUAAUACAAAAUGGACUUUAUAGAUCCAAGUUUAUCCUACAACUACAUUGAGAAAUUACUAUACCAAGUGGUAUUG